rnacentral:rRNA from 1 species
UGCCAGCCGCCGCGGUAAUACGAAAGGGGCUAGCGUUGUUCGGAAUUACUGGGCGUAAAGCGAACGUAGGCGGCACUGUAAGUUGGGGGUGAAAUCCCGGAGCUCAACUCCGGAACUGCCUCCAAAACUACAGAGCUAGAGGAUGUGAGAGGUAAGCGGAAUUCCGAGUGUAGAGGUGAAAUUCGUAGAUAUUCGGAAGAACACCAGUGGCGAAGGCGGCUUACUGGCACAUUUCUGACGCUGAGGUUCGAAAGCGUGGGGAGCGAACAGGAUUAGAUA